rnacentral:rRNA from 25 species
UUAAGUUAUUAAGGGCGCACGGUGGAUGCCUUGGCACUAGAAGCCGAUGAAGGACGUUACUAACGACGAUAUGCUUUGGGGAGCUGUAAGUAAGCUUUGAUCCAGAGAUUUCCGAAUGGGGAAACCCAGCAUGAGUUAUGUCAUGUUAUCGAUAUGUGAAUACAUAGCAUAUCAGAAGGCACACCCGGAGAACUGAAACAUCUUAGUACCCGGAGGAAGAGAAAGAAAAUUCGAUUCCCUUAGUAGCGGCGAGCGAAACGGGAAGAGCCCAAACCAAAAAGCUUGCUUGUUGGGGUUGUAGGACACUCUAUACGGAGUUACAAAGGACGACAUUAGACGAAUCAUCUGGAAAGAUGAAUCAAAGAAGGUAAUAAUCCUGUAGUCGAAAAUGUUGUCUCUCUUGAGUGGAUCCUGAGUACGACGGAGCACGUGAAAUUCCGUCGGAAUCUGGGAGGACCAUCUCCUAAGGCUAAAUACUCUCUAGUGACCGAUAGUGAACCAGUACCGUGAGGGAAAGGUGAAAAGCACCCCGGAAGGGGAGUGAAAUAGAACCUGAAACCGUGUGCUUACAAGUAGUCAGAGCCCGUUAAUGGGUGAUGGCGUGCCUUUUGUAGAAUGAACCGGCGAGUUACGAUUUGAUGCAAGGUUAAGCAGUAAAUGUGGAGCCGUAGCGAAAGCGAGUCUGAAUAGGGCGUUUAGUAUUUGGUCGUAGACCCGAAACCAGGUGAUCUACCCUUGGUCAGGUUGAAGUUCAGGUAACACUGAAUGGAGGACCGAACCGACUUACGUUGAAAAGUGAGCGGAUGAACUGAGGGUAGCGGAGAAAUUCCAAUCGAACCUGGAGAUAGCUGGUUCUCUCCGAAAUAGCUUUAGGGCUAGCCUCAAGUGAUGAUUAUUGGAGGUAGAGCACUGUUUGGACGAGGGGCCCCUCUCGGGUUACCGAAUUCAGACAAACUCCGAAUGCCAAUUAAUUUAACUUGGGAGUCAGAACAUGGGUGAUAAGGUCCGUGUUCGAAAGGGAAACAGCCCAGACCACCAGCUAAGGUCCCAAAAUAUAUGUUAAGUGGAAAAGGAUGUGGCGUUGCCCAGACAACUAGGAUGUUGGCUUAGAAGCAGCCAUCAUUUAAAGAGUGCGUAAUAGCUCACUAGUCGAGUGACACUGCGCCGAAAAUGUACCGGGGCUAAACAUAUUACCGAAGCUGUGGAUUGUCCUUUGGACAAUGGUAGGAGAGCGUUCUAAGGGCGUUGAAGCAUGAUCGUAAGGACAUGUGGAGCGCUUAGAAGUGAGAAUGCCGGUGUGAGUAGCGAAAGACGGGUGAGAAUCCCGUCCACCGAUUGACUAAGGUUUCCAGAGGAAGGCUCGUCCGCUCUGGGUUAGUCGGGUCCUAAGCUGAGGCCGACAGGCGUAGGCGAUGGAUAACAGGUUGAUAUUCCUGUACCACCUAUAAUCGUUUUAAUCGAUGGGGGGACGCAGUAGGAUAGGCGAAGCGUGCGAUUGGAUUGCACGUCUAAGCAGUAAGGCUGAGUAUUAGGCAAAUCCGGUACUCGUUAAGGCUGAGCUGUGAUGGGGAGAAGACAUUGUGUCUUCGAGUCGUUGAUUUCACACUGCCGAGAAAAGCCUCUAGAUAGAAAAUAGGUGCCCGUACCGCAAACCGACACAGGUAGUCAAGAUGAGAAUUCUAAGGUGAGCGAGCGAACUCUCGUUAAGGAACUCGGCAAAAUGACCCCGUAACUUCGGGAGAAGGGGUGCUCUUUAGGGUUAACGCCCAGAAGAGCCGCAGUGAAUAGGCCCAAGCGACUGUUUAUCAAAAACACAGGUCUCUGCUAAACCGUAAGGUGAUGUAUAGGGGCUGACGCCUGCCCGGUGCUGGAAGGUUAAGAGGAGUGGUUAGCUUCUGCGAAGCUACGAAUCGAAGCCCCAGUAAACGGCGGCCGUAACUAUAACGGUCCUAAGGUAGCGAAAUUCCUUGUCGGGUAAGUUCCGACCCGCACGAAAGGCGUAACGAUUUGGGCACUGUCUCAACGAGAGACUCGGUGAAAUCAUAGUACCUGUGAAGAUGCAGGUUACCCGCGACAGGACGGAAAGACCCCGUGGAGCUUUACUGUAGCCUGAUAUUGAAAUUCGGCACAGCUUGUACAGGAUAGGUAGGAGCCUUUGAAACGUGAGCGCUAGCUUACGUGGAGGCGCUGGUGGGAUACUACCCUAGCUGUGUUGGCUUUCUAACCCGCACCACUUAUCGUGGUGGGAGACAGUGUCAAGCGGGCAGUUUGACUGGGGCGGUCGCCUCCUAAAAGGUAACGGAGGCGCUCAAAGGUUCCCUCAGAAUGGUUGGAAAUCAUUCAUAGAGUGUAAAGGCAUAAGGGAGCUUGACUGCGAGACCUACAAGUCGAGCAGGGUCGAAAGACGGACUUAGUGAUCCGGUGGUUCCGCAUGGAAGGGCCAUCGCUCAACGGAUAAAAGCUACCCCGGGGAUAACAGGCUUAUCUCCCCCAAGAGUUCACAUCGACGGGGAGGUUUGGCACCUCGAUGUCGGCUCAUCGCAUCCUGGGGCUGUAGUCGGUCCCAAGGGUUGGGCUGUUCGCCCAUUAAAGCGGUACGCGAGCUGGGUUCAGAACGUCGUGAGACAGUUCGGUCCCUAUCCGUCGUGGGCGUAGGAAAUUUGAGAGGAGCUGUCCUUAGUACGAGAGGACCGGGAUGGACAUACCUCUGGUGUACCAGUUGUCGUGCCAACGGCAUAGCUGGGUAGCUAUGUGUGGACGGGAUAAGUGCUGAAAGCAUCUAAGCAUGAAGCCCCCCUCAAGAUGAGAUUUCCCAACUUCGGUUAUAAGAUCCCUCAAAGAUGAUGAGGUUAAUAGGUUCGAGGUGGAAGCAUGGUGACAUGUGGAGCUGACGAAUACUAAUCGAUCGAAGACUUAAUCAA